AGAUUGGGAAGCUUUUAUCUGUGACCCUAACUUUGAUAAGCACUCCAAGAUAUCUUAAGAAAUCAAAAAGUUUUAAUGUAGAGAAGGAGAAGGAAAAGUAUGAAAUCAGACUCUCUCUCUUUGAUGACAGAGGGAUUUUGAUGUUUUUUUUUAUUGUUUGGAUUUUAACACAUCAUCAUGAGAUGUAGUGAAUUCCUCUCCUUAUUUUUCCCCAAAAUGGAUAUCUAUUUCUCCAAAUGGAUUAAUAUCCAUUUUCCCCAAAUGGAUAAAUAAAUAAGGCCCUAGGAGAUGUUUACUAUCUAUAAGGCCCUUGGAGAUGCGUAUUAUUCCAAACAAGAAGCUCCAGCACAAGGAUUCUGAACCCUAGCUGCUCAUCAGCAUCAUUUGAGGGCUUUUUUAAAAAUUGCGGAACCCUAGAAAAUUACAUUAGCGGGGGCCGGUAGGCUUUGGACUCUGCCCAGGAGAUUAUGGCCAGCUGCUGACGUGAGAGCUGCUGAUGAGUGCCCAGGGCUGUGAUCUGCAGAAGAUCCCCUAGCUGGGAAAACAAAGGGACCCACUUUCUAACUUGCUUCCUGUUCUUACUUCAAAGCA
rnacentral:lncRNA from 10 species